rnacentral:rRNA from 1 species
GUACGGGAGGCAGCAGUGGGGAAUUUUCCGCAAUGGGCGAAAGCCUGACGGAGUGACGCCGCGUGUGGGACGAAGGCCUUCGGGUCGUAAACCACUGUCAGUGGGAAAGAUGGGUGUCGGGGCUAAUACCUCCGGCAUCUGACGGUACCUGCAGAGGAAGCCCCGGCCAACUCUGUGCCAGCAGCCGCGGUAAGACAGAGGGGGCAAGCGUUGCUCGGAAUUACUGGGCGUAAAGGGCGCGUAGGCGGGAUGGCAAGUCGGUCGUGAAAUCCCUCGGCUCAACCGAGGAACGUCGAUCGAUACUGCUGUUCUUGAGGAUUGCAGAGGAGACUGGAAUUCCCGGUGUAGCGGUGAAAUGUGUAGAGAUCGGGAGGAACACCGGUGGCGAAGGCGGGUCUCUGGGCAAUUCCUGACGCUGAGGCGCGAAAGCGUGGGGAGCAAACGGGAUUAGAUACCCCGGUAGC